UAAGAUGGAGAAAGUUUGGAAGACCAUCAAGUGCAGUUGGUCCUACAUUUGCAUCAUCCAUAAACAAAAGAUCAGGCAUUGGGUCUUUCUUGUCGAGUAGUAUUGCAAGCUCAACGUCAAUGUCCCUUAUGUCAACCAUGGCUACUUGUAUGCUUUCUGUUAAAACAUUUCCAUACACUGAGCUUGAGAAAGCAACUGAGAAGUUCAGUUCGAAGAGGAUUUUGGGUGAAGGGGGAUUUGGGCGUGUUUA
rnacentral:misc_RNA from 1 species